GCGUAUAUUAAGUUGUUGCAGUUAAAACGCUCGUAGUCGGGUUUCGGGUCGGGCCGAGCGGUCUGCCGAUGGGUAUGCACUGUUUGGCGCGGCCUUCUUUCCGGAGACCGCGGCUACUCUUAACUGAGCGGGCGUGGGAGACGGAUCGUUUACUUUGAAAAAAUCAGAGUGUUUCAAGCAGGCAGCUCGCUCUUGCAUGGUACAGCAUGGGAUGAUUGAAUAGGACUCCGGUGCUAUUUUGUUGGUUUCGAACACCAGGAGUAAUGAUUAACAGGGACAGUCAGGGGCACUCGUAUUCCGUCGAGAGAGGUGAAAUUCUCAGACCAAUGGAAGACGAACCACUGCGAAAGCAUUUGCCAGGGAUGUUUUCACUGAUCAAGAACGAAAGUUAGGGGAUCGAAGACGAUCAGAUACCGUCGUAGUCUUAACCAUAAACCAUGCCGACUAGGGAUUGGAGGGUGUUCGUUUCGACCUCUUCAGCACCUUACGGGAAACUAAAGUCUUUGGGUUCCGGGGGGAGUAUGGUCGCAAGGCUGAAACUUAAAGGAAUUGACGGAAGGGCACCACCAGGAGUGGAGCCUGCGGCUUAAUUUGACUCAACACGGGGAAACUUACCAGGUCCAGACAUUGUUAGGAUUGACAGAUUGAGAGCUCUUUCUUGAUUCGAUGGGUGGUGGUGCAUGGCCGUUCUUAGUUGGUGGAGUGAUUUGUCUGGUUA
rnacentral:rRNA from 1 species